rnacentral:rRNA from 1 species
CCAUACCGCGUGGGUGAAGAAGGCCUUCGGGUUGUAAAGCCCUUUUGUUGGGAAAGAAAUCCAUCUGGUUAAUACCCGGGUGGGAUGACGGUACCCAAAGAAUAAGCACCGGCUAACUUCGUGCCAGCAGCCGCGGUAAU